UAAGGAAUAUUGGUCAAUGGGCGCAAGCCUGAACCAGCCAUGCCGCGUGCAGGAAGAAGGUCUUACGGACUGUAAACUGCUUUUAUACGGGAAGAAAUCGUUCUUGCGAGAACAGUUGACAUUACCGUAUGAAUAAGCGCUGGCUAACUCCGUGCCAGCAGCCGCGGUAAUACGGAGAGCGCAAGCGUUGUCCGGAUUUAUUGGGUUUAAGGGGUACGUAGGCGGACAUUUAAGUUAGUAGUGAAAGCCUCCGGCUUAACCGGAGACGUGCUAUUAAUACUGAAUGUCUUGAGUACAGUAGAGGCAGGCGGAAUUUAUGAUGUAGCGGUGAAAUGCAUAGAUAUCAUAAAGAACUCCGAUAGCGAAGGCAGUUUGCUAGACUGAUACUGACGCUGAGGUACGAAAGCGUGGGGAGCGAACAGG
rnacentral:rRNA from 1 species